AGUCGAGCGAGCUUGCCUAGAUGAUUUUAGUGCUUGCACUAAAUGAAACUAGAUACAAGCGAGCGGCGGACGGGUGAGUAACACGUGGGUAACCUGCCCAAGAGACUGGGAUAACACCUGGAAACAGAUGCUAAUACCGGAUAACAACACUAGACGCAUGUCUAGAGUUUGAAAGAUGGUUCUGCUAUCACUCUUGGAUGGACCUGCGGUGCAUUAGCUAGUUGGUAAGGUAACGGCUUACCAAGGCAAUGAUGCAUAGCCGAGUUGAGAGACUGAUCGGCCACAUUGGGACUGAGACACGGCCCAAACUCCUACGGGAGGCAGCAGUAGGGAAUCUUCCACAAUGGACGAAAGUCUGAUGGAGCAACGCCGCGUGAGUGAAGAAGGGUUUCGGCUCGUAAAGCUCUGUUGGUAGUGAAGAAAGAUAGAGGUAGUAACUGGCCUUUAUUUGACGGUAAUUACUUAGAAAGUCACGGCUAACUACGUGCCAGCAGCCGCGGUAAUACGUAGGUGGCAAGCGUUGUCCGGAUUUAUUGGGCGUAAAGCGAGUGCAGGCGGUUCAAUAAGUCUGAUGUGAAAGCCUUCGGCUCAACCGGAGAAUUGCAUCAGAAACUGUUGAACUUGAGUGCAGAAGAGGAGAGUGGAACUCCAUGUGUAGCGGUGGAAUGCGUAGAUAUAUGGAAGAACACCAGUGGCGAAGGCGGCUCUCUGGUCUGCAACUGACGCUGAGGCUCGAAAGCAUGGGUAGCGAACAGGAUUAGAUACCCUGGUAGUCCAUGCCGUAAACGAUGAGUGCUAAGUGUUGGGAGGUUUCCGCCUCUC
rnacentral:rRNA from 1 species